ACCUCGCAAAACUUUAUCCUAAGUAAACUCGCGAAAGUGGCAAAACAUCCCGAUACUCGCUCUGGACACUUUGUCCGCUCUAUUCGUCGCCUCGCUGCCCGCUCCGUCGACUACACCGCUCCGCGAACGACGGCCGUCUCCCUCCGCCAAACAAACGAGCAAGUUUUAAUGUUUUGCUCACAAAGUGUAUGAUUAAACGCGGAGAGCGGCGGAGAGAGUCGGCCGUAAGUUAUUGAUUUUCCCCGACCGAACCCCCGUCGACAACGCGACUCGCGGUCCGAUUUGAGAUCUCUACGCGACUAUCUCAUUUGCUAAUUUAUGUUAAAUAUACUCAAAACUACUUUUAUGACUUAACCAUAAACUUUUCUCACUUUAAAAGAUGUGUCAAAAAGUUUCCACAGAAAAAACUAACUGUUAGCAAGUUUUUUCGUGGAAUUGUUAUGAGAAAAGUUAGUAGUCAGUGCGCAAUCGUACCGCGGGCGGCACGAGACGCGCACCCUGCAACUUCACGUCGCUCUACGUUCCGAAGUUAACGCGAAGUUCCGCCAUUUUGGAACAUGCUCACAACCCACUUGUUUUAUAAAGAAACUUUUUAUUAAUUCCUGUGGGCCGCGGAGUGUCAGUAAGAUGUUUUGAGGUUAUGCCGUAAGUCGAUAUACGUUUGUCUGACUUGAAACUGGAGUUUUUUCGUGUUUAUCACAGUGUACGCGGCUUUUGAGUGUGUUUUUAAAGAUUUUACUUAUUGUUUUGUAGUGUAUUACGAGUGACGUUUCCCGGAAAAUACUCUUGUGAUUUAUGUUUACUUCAGCGAGCUAAGAAGGACGCUAAACAUUACUUCUUGACCUUGCUUAUGGACCGGACGGACUGAUAAGUGACAGAAUGUCACGAAAAUCUCGUCAGGGUUAUAGCAUUCGCCACUUGCUGCAGCUGCCCAAUCCGCGGUCCUCCCCCGGCCCGCAUCCCCCGCCCGGUAUCAAGGCAUCAUUACGGACUCGCAUGCCCUCGCCAUCUGAUCAAGAUGCACGAGACUGCGAUGACGUCAACAUUGACAAG